rnacentral:rRNA from 1 species
CCUACGGGAGGCAGCAGUGGGGAAUAUUGGACAAUGGGCGAAAGCCUGAUCCAGCAAUGCCGCGUGAGUGAUGAAGGCCUUAGGGUUGUAAAGCUCUUUUACCCGGGAAGAUAAUGACUGUACCGGGAGAAUAAGCCCCGGCUAACUCCGUGCCAGCAGCCGCGGUAAUACGGAGGGGGCUAGCGUUAUUCGGAAUUACUGGGCGUAAAGCGUACGUAGGCGGUGGUUCAAGUCAGAGGUGAAAGCCCGGAGCUCAACUCCGGAACUGCCUUUGAAACUAGAUCGCUAGAACAUCGGAGAGGUAAGUGGAAUUCCGAGUGUAGAGGUGAAAUUCGUAGAUAUUCGGAAGAACACCAGUGGCGAAGGCGGCUUACUGGACGAUUGUUGACGCUGAGGUACGAAAGCGUGGGGAGCAAACAGGAUUAGAUACCCUGGUAGUCCACGCCGUAAACGAUGAUAACUAGCUGUUGGGCCUCAUAGAGGCUCAGUGGCGCAGCUACGACAUUAAGUUAUCCGUCCGUCGGGUAGGUACGGUCGCGAGAAUUAAACUACAAUAGUAAUUAGUACGGCGUGGAGACGUCGCCGACGGACGACCGACGACGGGAGGUAGG